rnacentral:tRNA from 1 species
AUUUAAAUAGCUUAAAUUUAGAGCAUAAUAUUGAAGAUAUUAGAGUGAUCAUUAGAUCUUUAAAUA